CUUGCUACCCGCUGACGAGCGGCGGACGGGUGAGUAAUGCUUAGGAAUCUGCCCAGUAGUGGGGGAUAGCCCGGGGAAACCCGGAUUAAUACCGCAUACGUCCUACGGGAGAAAGCAGGGGAUCUUCGGACCUUGCGCUAUUGGAUGGGCCUAAGUCGGAUUAGCUAGUUGGUGGGGUAAAGGCCUACCAAGGCGACGAUCCGUAGCUGGUCUGAGAGGAUGAUCAGCCACAUCGGGACUGAGACACGGCCCGAACUCCUACGGGAGGCAGCAGUGGGGAAUAUUGGACAAUGGGGGCAACCCUGAUCCAGCCAUGCCGCGUGUGUGAAGAAGGCUUUCGGGUUGUAAAGCACUUUCAGUAGGGAGGAAAACCUUAUGGCUAAUACCCAUGAGGCUUGACGUUACCUACAGAAGAAGCACCGGCUAACUCCGUGCCAGCAGCCGCGGUAAUACGGAGGGUGCAAGCGUUAAUCGGAAUUACUGGGCGUAAAGCGCGCGUAGGUGGUUUGGUAAGCGAGAUGUGAAAGCCCCGGGCUUAACCUGGGAACGGCAUUUCGAACUGUCAGACUAGAGUGUGGUAGAGGGUAGUGGAAUUUCCUG
rnacentral:rRNA from 1 species